GCAAACUUGGUCAUUUAGAGGAAGUAAAAGUCGUAACAAGGUUUCCGUAGGUGAACCUGCGGAAGGAUCAUUAUUGAAUAAACCUGGCUUGCUGAUGCUGGUCUCUCCGGAGGCAUGUGCUCGCUUGUCAUCUUUAUCUUUCCACCUGUGCACUCUCUGUAGAACUGAAGAGUUAUCCGAGGCAACUCGGGCUACAUUAGGACUUGCUGUGCUUUAUGGCCAGCUGUUCUUGGGCUCUACAGUGCUACGUUUUUCACAUACCCCACAAAUGUAACAGAAUGCAUGACUAGGUCUUAGAACCUAUAAACAAAUAUACAACUUUCAGCAACGGAUCUCUUGGCUCUCGCAUCGAUGAAGAACGCAGC
rnacentral:misc_RNA from 1 species